CACGAACGCUGGCGGCAGGCUUAACACAUGCAAGUCGAGCGCCCCGCAAGGGGAGCGGCAGACGGGUGAGUAACGCGUGGGAAUCUACCCACCUCUACGGAAUAACGCAUGGAAACGUGUGCUAAUACCGUAUACGUCCUUCGGGAGAAAGAUUUAUCGGAGAUGGACGAGCCCGCGUUGGAUUAGCUAGUUGGUGGGGUAAAGGCCUACCAAGGCGACGAUCCAUAGCUGGUCUGAGAGGAUGAUCAGCCACACUGGGACUGAGACACGGCCCAGACUCCUACGGGAGGCAGCAGUGGGGAAUAUUGGACAAUGGGCGCAAGCCCGAUCCAGCCAUGCCGCGUGAGUGAUGAAGGCCCUAGGGUUGUAAAGCUCUUUCACCGGUGAAGAUAAUGACGGUAACCGGAGAAGAAGCCCCGGCUAACUUCGUGCCAGCAGCCGCCGUAACAC
rnacentral:rRNA from 1 species